UGUAACACAUGCUUCCUCCAACAAUAAAUCAGAGGUUUCCGAGUGAGGGGUUAGAGACAUGUGUUACACAACUAGACAUACCACAAUACCCAAUAAUGGUUAAAACCACCAAUCCAACCAUAUCAACCACUUUUAUUUAUGCCCAUACUCGACAUGACUCGAUUUUACUAGCUCCACCUUUCCCUCAUCUUUCUUUUAUCUAGAUGUCACCCAUUCUCGGUGUCACACAAAAUUCAUAUAAGUUCAUUCUUAUUCCUAAACACAUUCUUAGUGGUCACAAGCAAACAACAAUACACUCAAACAUCAUACAUUCAAGUCAACAACAAUCAUUCAGAAUGUUCAAGUUGAACCCAUUCA
rnacentral:lncRNA from 1 species